CCCUAGUAACGGCGAGUGAAGAGGGAUCAGCCCAAAUUUGUAAUCUGGCUCUUUCAGAGUCUGAGUUGUAAUUUUGAGAACUGUUUUCUGCUCUGGACCAUGUACAAGUCUGUUGAAAUGCAGCAUCAUUGAGGGUGAGAAUCCUGUUCAUGAUAUGGACUACCAGGGCUUUAUGAUACAGUCUCUAAGAGUCGAGUUGUUUGGGAAUGCAGCUCAAAGUGGGUGGUAAAUUCCAUCUAAGGCUAAAUAUUGGUGAGAGACCGAUAGCAAACAAGUACCGUGAGGGAAAGAUGAAAAGAACUUUGGAAAGAGAGUUAACAGUACGUGAAAUUGUUAAAAGGGAAACAGUUGAAGUUAGACUUGUUGUUGUUGGUUCAGCUCUUUAAGGGUGUUUUCUGAUGAUUAACAAACCAACAUCAAUCUCUGGGUGUUGGAUAAGGGUCAUUGAAAUGUAGCAGUUUUGGCUGUGUUAUAGUCUUUGACUUGGAUACAGUGCCUGGGAUUGAGGAUUGCAGUAAGCCCCUAUUUGGGGUGGGACAAUUUAUUGUUCUUCUUACUGAGGAUGUUGGUGCAAUAGCUUUAAUUGACCCGUCUUGAAACACGGACCAAGGAGUCUAACAUGCUUGCGAGUAUUUGGGUGUUGAAACCCUGAUGCGUAAUGAAAGUAAAUGUAAAUGGGAUCUGUAACAAGUGCACCAUUGACCAGUCCUGAUUAUUUAUAUGAAGG
rnacentral:rRNA from 1 species